rnacentral:rRNA from 1 species
UACGUAGGGCGCAAGCGUUGUCCGGAAUUAUUGGGCGUAAAGAGCUCGUAGGUGGUUUGUCGCGUCUUCGUGAAAACUCACAGCUUAACUGUGGGCGUGCGGGCGAUACGGGCAGACUUGAGUACUGCAGGGGAGACUGGAAUUCCUGGUGUAGCGGUGGAAUGCGCAGAUAUCAGGAGGAACACCGGUGGCGAAGGCGGCGUCCUGGACCAAUACUGACACUGAGGAGCGAAAGCCAGGGGAGCAAACGGG